GCCUGAGCAAGUGGCUUACAUAAGCGGAAUGUAUUUCUUCAUGAUUCUGGAAGAUAGAGGUGUCAAAGUUCUUCGUGUCUUCAUGAGCUCAUCCCUGAAUUUUCAGACCUGCGUGUGUUGCUAGGUGGAUUGCUCUUCUUCCCUCAUAAUUUACUGCAUUUGAAUAACUCCCCAACUCAACAAUAAAUCCAGAGAGAACAGUGGCCAUGGGAAGGCGAAACAGCCAGAGGAUAGCCUCGUGCAAGUCAGAAAGAGAAAGCCAGCUCUUACCAGCUUGACCUUGGCCUUGGGGAUCCUUCCAAGAUCCCUAUUAUUUAAGCAAGGAUGUCAGGACCACGGGGGGUGCACCCACCCACUGAGACAGUGGGGCUGAUCUAUUGGGAGCUCACCAAAGCCAGCUGGACUGUGACUGAAACAGCAUGGGAUAAAACCGGACUCUCUGAUCAUGGCGAACAAUGAGGACUGAUGAGAAGCCAAGGUCAAUGGCAAGGGGUUUUGAUCCUACUUCAUGUUCUGGCUUGGUGGGAGCCUAGCCAGUUUGGAUGUUCACCUUCCUAGACAUGGACGGAGGGGGGAGGACCUUGGACUUUCCACAGGGCAGGGAACCAUGACUGCUCUUUGGAUAG